rnacentral:rRNA from 1 species
UUGAACGCUGGCGGCAUGCCUUACACAUGCAAGUCGAACGGCAGCACGGGUGCUUGCACCUGGUGGCGAGUGGCGAACGGGUGAGUAAUACAUCGGAACAUGUCCUGUAGUGGGGGAUAGCCCGGCGAAAGCCGGAUUAAUACCGCAUACGAUCUACGGAUGAAAGCGGGGGACCUUCGGGCCUCGCGCUAUAGGGUUGGCCGAUGGCUGAUUAGCUAGUUGGUGGGGUAAAGGCCUACCAAGGCGACGAUCAGUAGCUGGUCUGAGAGGACGACCAGCCACACUGGGACUGAGACACGGCCCAGACUCCUACGGGAGGCAGCAGUGGGGAAUUUUGGACAAUGGGCGAAAGCCUGAUCCAGCAAUGCCGCGUGUGUGAAGAAGGCCUUCGGGUUGUAAAGCACUUUUGUCCGGAAAGAAAUCCUUGGCUCUAAUACAGUCGGGGGAUGACGGUACCGGAAGAAUAAGCACCGGCUAACUACGUGCCAGCAGCCGCGGUAAUACGUAGGGUGCGAGCGUUAAUCGGAAUUACUGGGCGUAAAGCGUGCGCAGGCGGUUUGCUAAGACCGAUGUGAAAUCCCCGGGCUCAACCUGGGAACUGCAUUGGUGACUGGCAGGCUAGAGUAUGGCAGAGGGGGGUAGAAUUCCACGUGUAGCAGUGAAAUGCGUAGAGAUGUGGAGGAAUACCGAUGGCGAAGGCAGCCCCCUGGGCCAAUACUGACGCUCAUGCACGAAAGCGUGGGGGAGCAAACAGGAUUAGAUACCCUGGUAGUCCACGCCCUAAACGAUGUCAACUAGUUGUUGGGGAUUCAUUUCCUUAGUAACGUAGCUAACGCGUGAAGUUGACCGCCUGGGGAGUACGGUCGCAAGAUUAAAACUCAAAGGAAUUGACGGGGACCCGCACAAGCGGUGGAUGAUGUGGAUUAAUUCGAUGCAACGCGAAAAACCUUACCUACCCUUGACAUGGUCGGAAUCCCGCUGAGAGGUGGGAGUGCUCGAAAGAGAACCGGCGCACAGGUGCUGCAUGGCUGUCGUCAGCUCGUGUCGUGAGAUGUUGGGUUAAGUCCCGCAACGAGCGCAACCCUUGUCCUUAGUUGCUACGCAAGAGCACUCUAAGGAGACUGCCGGUGACAAACCGGAGGAAGGUGGGGAUGACGUCAAGUCCUCAUGGCCCUUAUGGGUAGGGCUUCACACGUCAUACAAUGGUCGGAACAGAGGGUUGCCAACCCGCGAGGGGGAGCUAAUCCCAGAAAACCGAUCGUAGUCCGGAUUGCACUCUGCAACUCGAGUGCAUGAAGCUGGAAUCGCUAGUAAUCGCGGAUCAGCAUGCCGCGGUGAAUACGUUCCCGGGUCUUGUACUCACCGCC